UGGAAACUCUCUGAUGAAUCUCAUGUGUUUGAACUGGCACCAUUCCUCCUGCACCAUACCCAUCUUCAACCACAGUCAUAGAAAUAUAGUUCAAUAGUUCAGAGACUAUUGAACAUGGCCAAAGCAGUUAUCCUGCUGUUCUGGAGGCUCUUGUGUACACCACCACUGGCAAGAUAGGAAAGCGAGGUGGAAGAUACUUGAUGCUUUAAAAAAACUAAAGGCAGUUACGAUGAACCUAGAGAACAAUACAAGAAUAGAUGGCACUAUAGGCUGGACCUCCUCUCCUCCCCAGCUGCUGAUCCACCCUUCCCUGCGACAUUAAUUAGCAGAAUCACCUUAAAUUCUUUACUGGGUGACUCUCUUGUAUGGAGGCGGGGUCUUAUGGGUGCAACUCUGGGCAUCUCACACCACUACACUAGCCUCUUC